CCUACGGGUGGCAGCAGUGAGGAAUAUUGGUCAAUGGACGCAAGUCUGAACCAGCCAUGCCGCGUGCAGGAAGACGGCUCUAGGAGUUGUAAACUGCUUUUGUACGAGGGUAAACGCAGAUACGCGUAUCUGUCUGAAAGUAUCGUACGAAUAAGGAUCGGCUAACUUCGUUCCAGCAGCCGCGGUAAUGCGGAGGAUUCAAGCGUUAUCCUGAUUGAUUGGGUUUAAAGGGUGCGUAGGCGGUCGGAUAAGUUAGAGGUGAAGUCCCGAGGCUCAACUUCGGAAUUGCCUUUGAUACUGGUCGGCUAGAGAGUAGUUGAGGUAGGCGGAAUGUAUGGUGUAGCGGUGAAAUGCUUAGAGAUCAUACAGAACACCGAUUGCGAAGGCAGCUUACUAAACUGCCACUGACACUGAUGCUCGAAAGUGUGGGUAUCAAACAGGAUUAGAUACCCGUGUAGUC
rnacentral:rRNA from 1 species